rnacentral:rRNA from 1 species
AGUGGCGAACGGGUGAGUAAUACGUGAGUAACCUGCCCUGGACUCUGGGAUAAGCCUGGGAAACUGGGUCUAAUACUGGAUACGACUUCCUGCCGCAUGGUGGGGGGUGGAAAGGGUUUCUGGUUGUGGAUGGGCUCACGGCCUAUCAGCUGGUUGGUGGGGUAAUGGCUCACCAAGGCGACGACGGGUAGCCGGCCUGAGAGGGUGACCGGCCACACUGGGACUGAGACACGGCCCAGACUCCUACGGGAGGCAGCAGUGGGGAAUAUUGCACAAUGGGCGCAAGCCUGAUGCAGCGACGCCGCGUGAGGGAUGACGGCCUUCGGGUUGUAAACCUCUUUCAGUGGGGAAGAACCUUUCGGGGUGACGGUACCUGCAGAAGAAGCGCCGGCUAACUACGUGCCAGCAGCCGCGGUAAUACGUAGGGCGCAAGCGUUGUCCGGAAUUAUUGGGCGUAAAGAGCUCGUAGCCGGUUUGUCGCGUCUGCUGUGAAAGCCCGGGGCUCAACCUCCGGUCUGCAGUGGGUACGGGCAGACUAGAGUGCAGUAGGGGAGACUGGAAUUCCUGGUGUAGCGGUGAAAUGCGCAGAUAUCAGGAGGAACACCGAUGGCGAAGGCAGGUCUCUGGGCUGUUACUGACGCUGAGGACCGAAAGCAUGGGGAGCGAACAGGAUUAGAUACCCUGGUAGUCCAUGCCGUAAACGUUGGGCACUAGGU